rnacentral:lncRNA from 1 species
AUGUGCCCACCAUUACUCCUUGCCAGGUGCAGAAUCCACAAUUUGGUCUUCUUCCGUUUCAUGCCAUUAAUCGGAGCCAGCGCUCUAAUCCACCCAGAUCCCACUGCAAGGCCUCUUCUUCCCCACGUCAACAGCACCUCCCAGACAACCUCUCAGAAGCAAACUUACUCACGCUGCAUUCAACUCCUGCAUCCAGAGCACAGAGAAAAGCCUGGAAAAGAACCCCGAACUACAAACGAACAAACCUCCAGGCUCACGAGGUUUGCGGUUUUUUCCCGAUUCUCGCUUCACGGCCCUGUGGGAGGCCUUAGAGCGUGGCUGCCUCCUGCUUCUUCGUUUCCUUCUAGGGAGGAACCAGGACACCCCCCUGGCCAGUCUCUUCCGGAGCUGGGCCAGCCUGGGGAGCAGGCCAGAGGCAGGGCACUGAGGCCGGUGGUCGGGCUGCCCACCCCGUGGGGUGUGGGGUGUCCUGGAGGAGCCCCCUGAGCACAUCCCCUUGGCUGGAGCUGCUGGGUCUUGAGCUUCCAAUGGGAACUGUCCCAGUGGGUACGUUUGAGGGGCAGCCCCAGCGCCGAGUGGGGAUUGAGCCGCCGGGAAGGGCUCUUGAUGUAGUGGGGUGGUGUGGCAUGGGGGCUCUGGGGCUACACAGAGACCUUCCUGGCCGUAUCCAACGUGCCCCAAUCCCAGCUGUGGUGCGCAGGAUGGGCUUUCCCAGUUGCACCGGCACUUGUCCAGGCGGGUUUUGAAUGUUUCUAGAGAUGGAGACUCCACCACCUCUCUUGGCAACCUAUGCCAGGGCUGGCUCUGCUGCCCUCAAAGAAAGAAGUUCCUCCUCAUGUUUAGAUGGCCCCUCCCAAGCUACCCUGCACCAACAGGAGAACCUCUCCAGCCCCCUCGGGCCCCAGCCCCCACCAAAAUGGCCCCCGUGCCCCAGCAGCCCCCUGUUCCAUCCCUCCGGUGAGGACUGAAGCCAGGCACAGCAGGGGUAGGCCUUGGGGCGGUGACAGAACCCCCACCAACAUCUCUGGGGAUAAGCACUUUUUCUAGAAAUAAUGGGACAGAGCCGUCACACAAGUGUCCUGGUGGUACCAACAGCAACCCCGUGAGGCACCAGCGCUGGCCAAGGUCCAUGCCCGGGCCCACCCACGGAUGGCCGUGGUGUCAGGCACUGGGAACCAGGCCUGGGGCUCUGCCGACCUGUGGCUGGGCCCCAAGGGGCUUGAGGACACUGUGGCCAUGGACAGCAACUGACAGUGACACCAAUCUGAGCAGCACUUGGUGCAGGAGGCUGUGAUGGGAGCCCGACAGACUGGCAAGGGUCCGUGGGGUGAGGGAUCAUCUGGCCCUGGACCUCCUCAAAUGGGCAUCUCCAGGCACACAAGCCUGACAAGCAAAUGUACUGGAGGCAAAAGAAAGGCCUUCAGUGACUACUGGGCACUGGAUGGGCCCUAAUGGGUGGGCCAUCACCAGCUGGGGGUGAUGCAAA